UUUUGGUGGUGCUGGUUUUGCUAUAAGUUAUCCAUUGGCAAAACUUUUGGGUAAAGUAUUUGAUUCAUGUAUAGAGAGAUAUCCACACCUUUAUGGAAGUGAUGGUAGAAUUCAUGCUUGUUUGACAGAGCUUGGUGUUACUUUAACACAUGAGCCCGGUUUCCAUCAGGUAAAUCUUCUCCUUUUUUUGCUAUUGUAAAUUGGAAAAAUAGACCGCCUGAUCUUGGUGUAAUUGAUAAAGUUACUCCUUGUGACCUUCUGGUCACGGGUUCGAGCAAUAGAAAUAGUGCAAGUAAAGCUCCGUGCAGUAGCGCAUAGUCGGAGCUUAGUGCACUAGACUGCCUUUUUAGUAAAUUGGAAAAAAGUCAAAUUUACUCUUUUACUAUAUGGAAUAUCUUAAUUUCACUCGUUACAUAAUGGAACUAUCCAUAUCUUGUUGUUAGCUAAUCGUGUCGUAUUUGUCCAUGAAUUUGGCGAAGCCACAACGCAAACGCGUCUAGAUUUACCACUUUACUUUUGGCUAUGGUUUAAAAAUUAUCUCCUAUUAUAUUUCGGAUAGGAGGUUAGUUAAGGUAAAGGGCUAAUACAAGAUGAUUUGCUAACAACAAGAAUAUGAAUGACUCGAAACAGCAAUUGAGGUAAAAUUAAGAUGUUUGGUAUAGUGGAGAGUAUUUUUGACUUUAUUACAUUGCGGAUUUUGAAUUUUGGUAGAUGGAGGGUGAAGUUGACACCGAUUUUCUUGUUCUGUUUGUGUGAAUUUGAAUGAAUAGAUGGAUUUUCAUGGAAAUGUGUUUGGUUUAUUGGCUGCACAUUCCAUUAGACCUUUGGUAUCUCUGCAUCAUAUGGAGAUAAUUGAACCUAUAUUCCCUAAUAUGACAAGAAUGAAGUCUCUGGAGCAUUUGUACCAGGCUGCAAGUUUCGAUCCACAACGAAUUUUACAGCAAACAGUAUGUUAUGAUCGUCGAUUUUCUUGGACAGUGUCAGUAUCUUGGGGAUAUGCUGUACAAGUUUUUGCACAUAAUGUGUUUUUGACAGACGCUCAGCGUGUACAAGAGAGUUACUUGCCCUGGAAAAAGAAUGCUUAUGGUACACUUUAUGAAUAUAAUACGAGGAAAUUUGAGUCUGAUCAAUGUAAAAAGCAGAUUGUUUUUUUCUUGGACAAAGUUUCUUCUGGCAUGGAUGAAAUCAAGACCAUUUACAAGAAGAAAACAUUUGAUAAUUGCACAUUCAGCAAGAAUUCACCAAGAGAAAUAGAAGAAAUCAGAGUGUUUUCGCACAAGUUGGACCUUGACACAAAGCAGGUAUAUUUUUUCUCUAGCUUUUGAAUCCAAUUUAGGCCGAUAUAUUCUUAACCUAUCAUCAAUGGUGGAGCCAGAAAUUCUAACAAGUGAAUUAAAAAAAAAUACAAUAAUAUUAGUUAUUACACCUGCAAUCAUGCUUCUCUAUCUUUACAAAGUAGAGGUAAGGUCUGUGCGCACACUAUCCUUCCACAGACCCAUUAUAUGGGAUUAUACUAGGUUUGUUAUUGUUGUAUUGCACCUGUAAUUCACAUUUGCGAUCUAGAGCAAUUCCUGAGCCUGCUUUAUCACUAAAUUAGAAGCUUCCCUUACGUCAAGUGGUUUCAACAAUACAUGUUUAUAUACUUUUAAUUUUUUUUACCUUAUUUGAAUAUAAUAAUUUUUUGACAAAGUGGAUUCAAUUGAACCCUUCCAUACUCUGUAGUUCCGCCCUUGUCUAUAGUUAGUAGGUUUAUAUGUUUAAAUUAUUUUUGAAACGUUUUGUUUAACGCCAUAUGCAGUUGCUAGCACCAAGAAGGCAUUGCUGUGAUGUAUUGCCUUCUACAUCUGGUAAAGUGAUGGAAAUAGGAAUACGAGAAUGCAAAGACGAUGAACUUAUUUAUAUGCACCAGUAGUGCUCUAUUUUCCUGUGCGCUCAACAACGCUUCCACCAUUUGUGAUUUUUGCAAUUGGCUGAACAAAGAACCGUCAAUUUUCUAGGAAUUUUAUCAAUGGGUAAUUGGUGACGGAGUCAAAUUUUGAACGUAAGGAAGUUUGGUGACGGUGUCAAAUUUUGAACGUAAGGAAGUUUUACACAGAUCACAGCAAUAUGCUAUGUAUUUUUCGAAGGCUGGUUUGCUUUCAGAGUAGAGAAGAUGCAGUAGAUAUAGAGGGAGUUCAGAGUUAGUUCAACAGGGAAGUCUUAGUUUUCAGAACUAUUAUUGUACAUGUGGUUACUCUGUUUAGAUAUAUAUACUUCAUAAAAGCAAAUAAUUUAGAGGACUACAAGACAUGGACAAUCUUUUUUAAUUAGCAGCAGGUUUAAUAAUUUCAGAAUUGACUGGAACUUGUUCAAGAUUUCUUAGUGUAUGUAUAAUUAUGAUUACAUAAGAGAAUGAAACAUUAAUAUGGCAUAACCUAGUAAGGUUUAUGAUUAAUUUGUUUGAGCUCUGACUCUGUGCCAACAAUUAUGCAAAGUCUACAGCCUGGAUUUGUGCAUGUGUUAAACAUAAUUAGAAUUUUGUGUAGUUUUCACAAUAUCAGAAACAGGGCAAAAACAUAUUCAAGGAACGUAAAUCCAACUCUACAAAGAUUUUUACUUCAGCUCAAACAUUAUUUAUUAAGAAGUAAAAUACUACAGUAAGAUUUUUGGGUGAUUGAGUUUUUGAAGUGCCUUUUAUUCAUUGUCUGGAAAAGAAAUGAGCUAAAUUGAGAUAUCUUAGAGUCUGUUUGGAUUGGCUUAAAAAAGUGGCUUUUAACCACAAGUGCUUAAAAUCACCUUUUAAGUGGUACAUCUUAUUUUAUAAAUAAGUAGUUACAUAUUUGGAUAAAAGUGCUAAAGCUUAAAAAAAGUUGUUGAAGUGUUUAGCAAACAAGUGGUGGUAAGCACUUUUUCUUAUUAAAAAGACAAAAAUAUAAACACUGGUAUUAUAAAAAUGAAGAAGAGGAGGAAAGAAGAGGGUAAUUUUGGUAUUAUAAAACAUACAAGGGCAAGAGAGUAAUUUUAUUGGGGUCAGCUAACUUGUUGCUUUUGACUUUUUUUAAACACUUUUUAGCUCUUUUUAAGAAACUUUUUUUGUUGCCGGACACUCCAAAAAAUAAAAAAGUGCUUAACCUUAGUCUGAAAAUAAAGCUAUAAAUGUUUAGCAAUUGAAGGUUGCGCUUAAGGGUGAAUUAAAAAAUAGCUUGAUUUAUAAGUGGUGAUUGAAAAAUAGCCACAGUCCCAGAAGUAAGCGAAAUUUAGUCACUUUUCAUGUAACGAUAAAUCUGAACGAAAACACUAUCUAAAUUUCGAAAAAUAUUCCAGCAUAAUAUACUGGAGUUCAGUAUAAUAUACUAGUCCAGCAUAAUAUGCUGGAAAUUCAUCCACAUGUACUUCAGUCUCUAGUAUAUUAUGCUGGAACUUCCCGUAUAUAGGAGUUUCAUCAUAAUAGUUCCAGCAUAAUAUACUGGAAGUUCAUACACAGGUGCAUCAAUCUUCAAUAUAUAAUACUGAAACUCUUCGUGUUGCAGCAAAAUAGUGACGAUUUUACAAAUACUGCUAUUUUAUAAUUAUCAGUUUGAUGCGUGGUAUUUUCACUGCACUUAAUGAUCCCAAAAUGGUUUUGCAAAUCUUGUGGACCAAAGUUGGCCUAUUGGACCGAGAUAGCGAAGUCAUCUUCUUAGCAUGGGCUACUCGUUUCUACUCACAAUGGAUAGAAUUGGGCUUGGACCGUGCUCGUCACACUUAUCAAUUUCGUUACUUUCAGAAAAUUAAAUAACCAACGAAAGUAUAGAAUGUGAAAGAAUUAUAACUAAACAACAACAAAUUUAAGAAGAGAAAUUAAAAACUUCAGGGAAAAAGAAAAUGACUCAAGAAAAGGGUCAUUUGUAGUCACAUGAUAUUAAGAUAAUUUUUUUUUCCUGGUAUUACUUUAAAAUUAAUGACUAAUUUUGGUCAUGAGUCACUCUAUCCCCAUUCUUAGACUAUAGUCCACAAUGCCAAAUACACAUAUGUUAUUUUGUAUAAGAUACAACCGUCAACCUUGAAAAGAUUACUAAAUAACUCACUAAAAUACUAUUUCACAUUAGACUCCAUAUGAUUGGUAUGCCAAAAUCACUUAACCAGAUUAGAAUGUAGCAAUUGAUGUAGUGAAAUCAUGACUAUUGAGUGAAUAAAUUGUAGUAGCUCUUUUUAGUCAUUACCCUAUUGAAGUUUUCAGCUAACAACAAGAGAAUGUAUCCAUUAUGAACUAACAAGGUUUAUGUUAUUAAAAAAUAAAAUAUAAAUAAAAUGACAAGUUACAACAGUUGUAGAAUUUGAAAGAUCAAUAUAACUUCAAUUGAAACAUCAAAGGAAACAACUCAUACUUUAGAAGACCGACAGUGGAUAAUACCAACAAAACCUUGAAGAACAUGAAAAUUUUAACACUUUCAAGAAAGGAGUUCCCAAAAAAUGAUCAACUUAUCUUAAUAGGAUGAAAUAAAGAAAAAUAUUGACAAGGAAAAAAGAUGAAGAACGUAAAGCAAAUAACAGAGACUUCAUAGACUUGUGAUCUAUGCUAAAUUAUAUAUAGAAUAAGCAUUGUGUUCCUGAGUACGGACAUUGGUAGCCAGAGAUUAAGGUUUUCUAUUUUUUCCUCAUCAAGGGAGAGCGGAUUACUAUAAUAAAUUUCUAAGAUUGUAAUUACAUUGGAAACCAAUAAUUAAUGAAAGUUAUCCAUAACCAAGAAAUUUCAUUCACUGAUAGUGUGUCAUUGUCAAAAAAAGAUUUUCUCAUAGGAUAAGUAAUUUGUAAAUCUUGUUGUAAAUAGGAAGCUAUAUAUAUAUAUAUAUGCUAUUAGUUAUCCAUUGGCAAAACUUUUGGGUAAAGUAUUUGAUUCAUGUAUAGAGAGAUAUCCACACCUUUAUGGAAGUGAUGGUAGAAUUCAUGCUUGUUUGACAGAGCUUGGUGUUACUUUAACACAUGAGCCCGGUUUCCAUCAGGUAAAUCUUCUCCUUUUUUUGCUAUUGUAAAUUGGAAAAAUAGACCGCCUGAUCUUGGUGUAAUUGAUAAAGUUACUCCUUGUGACCUUCUGGUCACGGGUUCGAGCAAUAGAAAUAGUGCAAGUAAAGCUCCGUGCAGUAGCGCAUAGUCGGAGCUUAGUGCACUAGACUGCCUUUUUAGUAAAUUGGAAAAAAGUCAAAUUUACUCUUUUACUAUAUGGAAUAUCUUAAUUUCACUCGUUACAUAAUGGAACUAUCCAUAUCUUGUUGUUAGCUAAUCGUGUCGUAUUUGUCCAUGAAUUUGGCGAAGCCACAACGCAAACGCGUC
rnacentral:lncRNA from 1 species